AUAACAUAAAAGAAACUCAACUGAAUCGGCGCUGAAUUCAGACGAAAACAAACAGAUAAAUCAUAUAGAAAAUGUCUGAGGUGAAGAUAAUCGGGGUGGUGGGCGGUGGCCAAAUGGGAUCGGGAAUAGCGCAAGUUGCUGCCAUGCACGGCGUCGACGUUUUCCUUCACGACCUCGAUCACCGAGUUCUUUCCAAAGCCUCGUCUUCCAUCUCCUCCUCCAUCGACCGUUUUGUUUCCAAAGGCACCCUUUCUCAGGCGGCGGGAGUUGAGGUGUUUAAACGACUGCGUUUUACCACGAAUUUAGAGGACUUUCACACGGCGGAUUUUAUAAUCGAAGCGAUUGUGGAAUCCGAAGACGUGAAGAAGAGUUUAUUCGUUAAAUUGGACAAGAUUGCGAAGAGUUCUGCGAUUUUCGCUUCAAACACGAGCUCUAUUUCCAUCACGCGUAUAGCGUCUUCUACAACCAGGCCGCGUCAGGUGAUCGGAAUGCAUUUUAUGAACCCUCCGCCUCUGAAGAAAUUGAUAGAGAUUAUACGGGGAGCAGACACUUCUGACGAGACAUUUGCUACUACGAAAGCAUUGUCAGAGAGGUUGGGCAAGGUAGUAAUUACCUCCCAGGAUUAUUCAGGUUUCAUAGUGAAUCGAAUCCUUAUGCCUAUGAUAAAUGAAGCCUUUUUUACUCUCUACACUGGGGUUGGAACCAAAGAGGAUAUUGACAGAGGAAUGAAGCUAGGUACUAGCCAUCCAAUGGGUCCUUUAGAGCUUGCAGACUUCAUUGGAUUGGAUGUGUGCUUGUCAAUAAUGAGAGUUCUUCAUGCUGGUCUUGGAGACAAUAAAUAUGCACCAUGCCCUCUCCUUGUGCAGUACGUUGAUGCUGGAAGACUUGGAAGAAAGCGAGGUCUUCAAAACCUCACUUUUCCCCACAUGUCUGACUGUUGGGAUGGUGCAGACUGUUCAAAUACUCUGUAUUAUGCAGACAAAACAAAAGAAAGUUUAGAAGAGAGUCUUUGUGGCUCCUAUUCUCACCACCAAACGUCUCUGCUACUCGUCACCCUACCAAGGCAUCAUCACCCUCAUUGAACCUCCAAGAUGUCGUCGCUCUCUUCGUAUAACCACCACCUCUACAUGCAUCUUCACCAUUGUUGUUAUCAUUUAAAGGACAAUCACUGUUAGAAAGGUAGAGAAAGAGGGUUUGGACCUAUUGCACAUAACCGAACGGUCUGACAUAUAUGCACCGAACGGUCUGACAAAUCUGCACCGAACGGUUUGAGAAAUGUGUUGCACCGAUCGGUGUCAUAAUGCUUGUACCGGACGGUAGUGAACAACUUCACCGAUCACUAGUGAACUAACCAGCUGAGCAUUGUUGUACCGGACGGUCAAAGACUGCCUACACCGAACGCGUGACCUGGGGAGCAAUAUUGAUUCGAACGACAGAACACUAAAUCACUGAACGGUCAUAUGCAGUGACCAGAUGCGUUGUUUGGAAACAUAUUAUGGGACUUCAAGAGGGUGGCCACAUCAAUAUUAUAGUUUAAUUUCGUUUUAUAAUGUAAUUGGGUCAAACUUUAUGACUUUGGGCUCAGUUUUGGUCUACUUUUAAGAGCAGCCCGUGAGGAAGGGCAUUUUGGUCUUUUGGGUCUUAUAAAACCCCAAAUUAGAUUUAGGGUUUACUCUCCUCCCCCUCAUUCACGUUUCUUCCCUCUUAGGUUGGGAGCUUGGUGCAUAUUCCAGCCCCCCCUUUGGGGGUUUAGGUUUUAGGUUUGCUUUUUAUAUCUCUUCUUUUGUAAUGAACCAAUUUCGUUUUGAAUUGCAAUAUGAUUUUUUUUU